CGUUAGCUCAGUUGGUAGAGCAGUUGACUUUUAAUCAAUUGGUCGCUGGUUCGAAUCCAGCACGG
rnacentral:tRNA from 2 species